CCUACGGGUGGCAGCAGUGGGGAAUAUUGCACAAUGGGGGAAACCCUGAUGCAGCGACGCCGCGUGAGUGAAGAAGUAUUUCGGUACGUAAAGCUCUAUCAGCAGGGAAGAAAAUGACGGUACCUGACUAAGAAGCCCCGGCUAACUACGUGCCAGCAGCCGCGGUAAUACGUAGGGGGCAAGCGUUAUCCGGAUUUACUGGGUGGAAAGGGAGCGUAGACGGCAGCGCAAGGCUGAAGUGAACUGCCGGGGCUUAACCCCGGAACUGCUUUGGAAACUGUGCAGCUAGAGUGCAGGAGAGGUAAGUGGAAUUCCUAGUGUAGCGGUGAAAUGCGUAGAUAUUAGGAGGAACACCAGUGGCGAAGGCGGCUUACUGGACUGUAACUGACGUUGAGGCUCGAAAGCGUGGGGAGCAAACAGGAUUAGAUACCCCUGUAGUC
rnacentral:rRNA from 1 species